rnacentral:lncRNA from 1 species
GGAAUUCAAGGCGGCUUCAUUCAAUGAAAGUGAGAAAUCCUCGAAGAAUUUCGAAAAGGCGGCGGCUAAAAUGAACAGAAUGUAAGGGAUCUCUUGAAUCUCUUCGUAGACAAUAUAUAGGAUGUAUAUGGUUUAAUUGGAGUGUAUGAGUGCCAAAAUUUAACACUUAUCGGCGCGUUGAAGUUAUUCUAAAAUUUGUAAAGCCCGUUUAAAUAUAAGUUCUUGAAGAGCCGGCCUAUGUGAAAAUUAAAUUAAGUCUUUACAACGCACAUUAUCAUUCAUACGCAAAUAAUAGAUAUUUACCGAACCACAAAGGGGGGGUAUAUGUCAACUAUCUAAAAGAAUUAAAUCAGUACGUAUUUUUCCAAACAUCAGGGUGAUAUAUGUCAUUACCUCUAAGGACUGUUUUCAGUUACUCACAAGCACUUCUUGACAAAAGCAUUGCCUCCAAGUAAGCAUAGAUUUUGCUUCGUCUAGGCUAAUAUUUCAUGCAACGCUAGAAAUUUGAAUUACUUAGUUGCUUUAUGCGAAAUGCAUUUUGGCUCCUCUUCAAAAAUUAAUUACACCAGCACAUGGAAAAUGCAUAAUUAAGGCUAGUUGAAAUAAUUUUCUCCUAUUUAUUUAUUUUGAAGGCCAAAAUAUUUCUUUCAAGACUAGAGGAAACCAUUACACAAUAUACGAAACAAUUGAAUGGAAAACCAUUACACAUUAUUACUUUGUAUAACGGAUAUAGCUGAUAUUGAUCUUGGAUUACAGAUCCAUAUGGACAUAUGUAGCUUAUAUUGAUCCCAGAUUAGAGAUCAAUACGGAUAUAGCGUACAUUGGUCUUGGAUUAGAGAUCAGUAAUAAAAAAAAAAUCUGAAAAUAAUCAACGAUCAAACUCAAACACACGUAAUUACUAACUAAAUCUCAUACUACAAAUUCAGAUACGGACAAAAACAUUUAUUAGAUCUAAGGCAUAAAAUCAAACAAAUAAAAAAAGAUGGCUGAGAUUGAGAUUUAGAAUAAAAUUUCUUGUCAAUUUUGUGUUUCUUGGGAUAUAAAUAGAGGCCAAAAGUAUCGAGAAAAUAUCUUUUGGCUAUUUUUCUGAAAGUCGAGAGAAAUCCAUAAUCCAAAUCAAGAAAUUCUCUAAACACAAGCGUUAACAAAAACAUCAGAGCAUCUUUUGCAAGCACAUGCUCGAAUCCAAUUUGUGGAGACUCUCAUGGACAACAAAUCAACAUCGAAGCUUGUAGAGUAAACAAGUAUAAGUUACUAUUUACUAUUUCUUUAGUCGUUUUUGUCUAGCUAAUUGAAGGGGUUUUGAACCUUUGCAAGUCAUAAAUGAACUUUUAUAUUCAAACUAGGGUAGUUAAUUAAAUAAACAUAUUUAAAAACCACUCUGCAAUAUAUCUUAAAUGGUAAAAGAUUAUCUAUACAAAACAAAAGAAAUAUGAAAUAUAAAAAUUCCAGCUAUUUUAAGACCAAGUUCUUUUCAUGUGAAAGAGGCAAUAUAUGGAGAAGCAUUUUGACCAAUUUAGAUAGAAAUGUGAAAUUAGUGCAUCCUUGCUUCACGAUUCUACCUUGCUAAUGUAGUGCUUUCGAGAUACCGCAUCAAUAACACAGAAACAAUAACUCUUAUUAAUUUUAGAAAUUUUUUUGAUAAUUUUAAUUAAACUUUUUAUUUAUUUAUCUUGUUUUAAGUUAUAGUGCUUUAUCCUGAAGCAAUAACCAAUUAAUUGAAUUGCUUUCUGUCAAUGAAUACUAAAAGUUUCAAAAAAAAUUGAAACAAAAAAGAAAGAAAGAGAUGCAAAUUGCUGUUGAUAAUUGAGUUUAAUUUGGGAAACAUAAAAUAAUUUAGCAUAACUUAUUGUAAAUGAAUGAAUUUAUUAAGUUGAUCAAAAAGAGAAAAAUAUUAUCCUAUGGAAGAAGAUAAAACCAGUUAUGUAAUAUCUGGAAUGGUGGUGCACGAGGGUACAUUCUCUUACUAUUUAAUCACUUUACUAUUAUUAAUCAAUCUGAUUGAGAAAUAUUUUAUGACCUAGGAAUGAAUGAUUUAUGAGUUACGACUAUCUCUUUUAAGUUUUUUUUUUUUUAAUGUGCUAGGAAUUAAUGAAUGACUUAUGAGUUAUGACUAUCUCUUUUAAGUUUUUUCUUUUUUUUUUUAUUGAGUAUUUCGAUUUUCUGCUCACUCAUUUGAGAGGAGUUCAAAUUUAAAAUUUUAUAUUUCCACUGAAGAGAUUUUAUCAAUUCAACUAAUUAGUACUCAAUCUCUCUUUUAUUUUUAGCUUGCAACCACUAAUUGGCUUAUUUAGCAAGUUCUCUCAUAAUUGUUCAAAAUGUUCCAAUUGUUUCAAAUUUUGGACGGGUUUUAAAUAAAUGGACAGCAACAAUCGUGUUGACUGUGAUUUGACAAAAUGGUGAUAACUUAUUUUUUUUAAAAAAUUGCGAGGAAAAACCAUUUGAGACAAAAAUAAAAAACCCCAUAAUUUAUUUCUUUCUUUUUUUUUUUCUAAUAGAAAUGUUCCCGCAAAUCCUGAAUUUUGACCCAAAAAAAUAUUAUAUAUCCCAAAAGAGUUUGUGCAAUCGUUUUACCAAAUUACACUCCCGGUCGUUUUUCCCUCAGUUCCGUAAAAGAUUGGAUUAUAUAAACAUAUAUGUAAACGAUUAUGAGACUACACAAUUAAAUAUAAAAAAUUUUAAUUAACAAUUUCUUAAUUUUCUCCAUGAUGAGGCCAAUGGUUUGAAUAUUCCAGUGGGUGUGGGAGCUUAGGAACUUUUAAUUAUUUUCUUUGAUUUUAGUUGAAAUUCAACUUUCAUACAUUCAAAUAGAUCUCAACGGACACUAAAUUAAGCUUCAAAAUUCCAAAAGACCUUUAGACCAAUAUUAUUUUUCUUACUCACUUAAUAAACGACAAAUAAGAUGGCAUAAAAGAGGUUAUUUAAUUAAGAGUUUUGUUAAUUUAUAAUUAAUGUAACUUACAAUCCUUAUAAUAAGACAGUAGAUUCCACUAUCAUAUCACAAAUUUUUAUAUAUUUUAUCAUAACUGUAAGUUGCAUAACUUAAUCAAAUCCCACAAUUAAAUAUCACAAUUUCUACCGUACAAUAUUAUGCCAUGGUUUUGUGCGGGGACUUUGAUCUUCUUCUUUUCUUUUUUUUUCACAAGACAAAAUUAGCAAAAACAAAGCCGACACACAAAACCAUGGCAUAAUAUUAGUGGCAGUAAGUGGUCUCAAAAUCAGGCGUUCUAGCCAGUUUCGUUUGGUGGGCAUAUAUGGCUACAAGACAAAGGCUUUUUGCCUGUCAGUUUCUUCAUCAUCAUCAUCGUCAUUAUUAUUAUUAUUAUUAUUUUCUCUAAAAUCCCAAUUUAAAUCUAACACAAAUAAGUAACCAAUUAAUUAAUUAAUGCUCUCUAAAACCCCCAAUUGAAAUCUCUCUAUAUAUAUGUACAUGAAUAUGCUUCCAAUUCUGCUCUGACACUCUCUCUCACUCACUAAUUUUGCUUCCACUAUUUAUCAAAAACAAUGAAUCAUUUCAUCCUCAUUGCUUCACUUCUUCUCCUUUUCUUGUUAAAUAAUUUUGUUGUUGAAGCUCGACAAAUUGCAAAAAGCACAACUACUGGAACCAGAUGGGUAGUUCUAGUUGCUGGAUCCAAUUAUUAUGAAAAUUAUCGGCACCAGGUUAAAUUUUAUUAAUUGAUUAGUUUUAAUUUUUAUUUAAUCUACAUACAAAUUAAUUUUGUCGAUUUUUCACCAUCAAAUUUGUUGGUUAUUUUUGCAGGCCGAUGUGUGUCACGCGUAUCAAAUUCUGAAAAAUGGAGGAUUAAAAGAUGAAAACAUAAUUGUUUUCAUGUAUGAUGAUAUUGCAUUUAACGUUCAAAAUCCAAGGCCUGGUAUCAUCAUCAACAAGCCGUACGGCCCUGAUGUUUAUAAUGGAGUCCCCAAGGUAUUUAUUUUAUUAUUAUUAUUUUUUUUGCUUGAUAAAUAAAUCAAACUUUUUUAAUUUGAUUAUAUGAUUCCUAUGGCUAUUUUACAGGAUUACACUGGUGAAAAUUGUACUGCCAACAAUUUUCUGGCAGUGAUUCUCGGCAACAGAACUGCACUCACCGGGGGCAGUGGCAAGGGUAGCAAUGCCUACUGGAGAUGACCUCUACGCUAAAGAUUUGAUAGAAGUGUUAAAAAAGAAACACGAGGCUAAAUCUUAUAAAAGCAUGGUAAGUAAAUGAAAUCAAUUAACCAUUAUGCAAAUUUAAUUACUAGUUGAUACCUAAUCAAUUAAUUAACAAAUUUUUUUUUUGGUUGGUAAUUUUGGGGGGAAAUUAAUUAGGUAUUUUACCUUGAGGCUUGUGAAUCCGGAAGCAUGUUUGAUGGGCUUCUCACGGAAGACAUGAACAUAUAUGCAGUCACGGCUUCAACUCCUGCAGAGAGCAGCUACGCGAUGUAUUGUCCCGGGCAUUAUCCGAGUCCCGAGGAUGAUUUUGAAACUUGUUUGGGUGAUCUCUUCAGUAUUUCUUGGAUUGAAGAUAGGUCAAUUAAUUGAUUAUUUGAUUUUUCAUCGAUAAAUUUGAUGUUAAUUAAAAUUUAUAAUUUUUUUUUAAACUUUUCUGUGUAAUGGCGUGCAGUGAAAAACAUGAUUUACAGAAGGAAACACUACAGCAACAACAUGGAGUGGUAAAAUCUAUUUUUUGAUUAAUUAAAGUUAUCACGUCUCUCUCUCUUUUUUUUAAAAAAAAAAUAAAAUAAAAUUCUCUGGUUAAUUCCGUCGAGUUUUACAGGUUCGGAGGAGGACAUUGGUAGAUUAUUUAGACUUUAGCUCUCAUGUAAUGCAGUACGGAAACAAAGAGCUGAGCAAAGAGCCAAUUUUUUCGUAUAUUGGCACGAAUCCUGAUAACGACAACUUCACGAUGAAGGCUGAAGAAUUUUCUUCUAACCCAUCAGCUGAAAUUGCUCAUUCGAGUCGUUUGACGAGGGGAGCUGUUAGUCAACGCGAUGCUCAACUUCAUUAUCUUUGGCACAGGGUAAUUCAAUUAAUCUUAUCAAAUUAUUGUUUAAUUAAUUAGAUCUUGUAAUUUGAGUUAUAAUAAUGUUUAUUCUUGCAGUUCAAUAGAUCGGCUGAUGGGUCUAGUGAGAAGAUCGAAGCUCAGAAGCAAUUACAGAAUGAGAUUUUAAGCAGGCAGCAAGUGGAUCAAAAUAUACAUCAAAUCAUAGCACAAGUUUUUGGGGAAGAAAAUGUGUCGAAAAUGAUUGAGUCCAUUCGACCAGCAGGCCAGCCUCUUGUAGACGACUGGGAUUGCUUGAAAAUGCUUGUAAGUUUUUAUAUUAUUAUUAUUUUUUUCUUAAUUAAUUCCAUUAUUAUCUCAGUAGGCACACAUAUAAUCAUUUUUAAGUGCGGCUGUCUUUAUUUUUUUAAUGCAGAUGUGCGGUUUAAUAGUGUGUUGCACUCACUCUAUUAAAUCGCACGGUUUAACAAUGUGUGUAUUUAAGAAAAGAAAACGACAUUCGUAAUAGAGAAAGACUAUUUGAUAGAUUAUUUUGAUUACUUAAUUAAUUAUAUACAGGUGAGAAUUUAUGGGGAAAUUUGUGGAUCAUUAUCAAUAUAUGGAAAGAAGUAUACAAGAGCAAUGGCCAACAUGUGCAAUGCUGGAAUCAAUGAGAAGCAGAUGACUUUGGCAUCCAAUCAAGCUUGUUUGAAAUAAAAUAAGUAAAAUGAUUAUUUGAAUAAGUUCUUGAAAUAAAAUACGUCUUUGAAUAUUUGAAGAAUAUACCUAAAGCUUUUAAUUUCUCUGUUUAAAAAUAUAUUUUCUUUCUUUUAAUUUCUUUCUUUGAGGAAAAAAAUGUGAUUUGAUUUUCUUUUUAUACGGUUCAAUUGAUAUUGUAGCUAGUUGUUAUCAGGCCUAAAAACUUCAGUAGUUGGAUGAAAAUAACCCAAAAAGAAAAAUAAAUGAUAACAAAAUAAGAAUAAAGAAUAAAUCCUUUAAUUUGAAUUUUUUUUUCCCCGAUAAGAUCAUUCUUUUAACCAGAUCCAAAGAAAUGCUUUAUACUUUUUUUGCAUGACGCUUGAGAAAAGAAAAAAACACGUUAGAAGAAAAAUAAGGAAUUAUGAUAUUUCAAGACAACAGCUAUAAGAUAAGAAAACUAAAGCAAAUAUGGAAACAAAUACAAUAAAAAAAAAAGGCAUUAAACAUUCUUUAUCCAUCCUUCAAUUAUUGCCUCAAUAUUAACAAAUCAUUUAAAAUCCCAAAGAUCAAAUUAAUUGUGCUAUUGAGGCUUUGGGACAUUGUAAUCAAAGACUGAGAAAGCUAUCCUUUUUUUUCCCUAUAAAAAGUUUUAUUUUCUUAGUCACUAUGAUGCGUAAUUAAAAAAAUUAUCAAAAUCACCACCUAAAGCAACUUAUAAAUACAAAAAUAGUGCUAAACAUCUCAAAUUUUUUAUUUUAAAAAAUUAUGUCAGAUCAUGUGACAUUCACUAACUAGUUGGAGAGAUAAUAUAAUUAAUUUAUCUAGAUUUAGUAAAAAAUUAUCAAUUAUUUAAUUAAUGAAAUUUAAAAUAAAAAAUUUGAGAUGUCUAAUCAUUACUCUAAAUAUAAUAGACACAAAAAUAAUAAAAAAUUAAAGUUUAAGAGUUCAAAAUAUUUUAUUUAUAGUCUCAUGAAUAGAACAACAUAAUUGCAAACGGCACAUUUUCUCACUUACGUUUCUUUAUAUCCUGAUAAAUAUCUCUUCUACUAAACUUGACAAACACUAAUAUAACAAACCCCAAUUAUUUUCUCCUGUAUUCUUUUGCGCUCUCAUAGGUGUCAUUUUAUUUUUUUGAGUCUUUUGUUGCUAAAUUUUUAGAUUCGUGAUCAAUUCAUUUUCAUGAUUUUUUUUUCAGUCUAUGAUCUUCAUCUAUACAAAUUUAAAAUACUCCCUUUUGUUUUCUUCAUUUUUUCAGAUUAAUUAUUUUUAAUUUUGGGAAACUAAUGUUUUUAAGUUUUGUAAAGAAAGAAAGUUUGGAGAGAAGAAUAAAGAUAACAAUACUUCAAAAGAAAUUAUCACUUAUAGAAUUGUUUGUGUGAAAGGUAUGGUAAGAAGACUAUAAAAAAAAAUUUAAGAGUGAGAAAAUUGAUAGAAAUCAAAGAAAAUUUGGAAAUCAAAGCACACACAAAUUAAGGAUGAUAAUUUAGAAAGAAAUGAUCUUUUUGGUAUUAAAUGGAUCAUAAUUGAGAGGGGGUUUUAAAAGAAUAAUGGAAAGGUGUUAAAAGCCUCUCUCUUUUGAAUUUUUGUGCCUUUCCAUUGUUUGGUUGACUAUGAAAUGGGGGAAUUUAUUAAUUUCCUUUGAAAUAAAAGAAAUUAAUAAAUUCCAUCCAAUCAAGGGAUCUGAAUUAUUCACCGAAGAGUGAAACAGGGGUGGAGCUAUUUGUGGGCUGGGGCUGUAGCCUGUCUAAAAUUUUGAUAAGAGUUCUACUAUUUACUCCGGGUCAAACCCCGAAAGUAAUUGAAACGACGUCGUUUCUUUUUUUUUUUUCGUUUUUGUUCUCCAUAAAACGACGCCGUUUGGUUUAAUUAGCAUCAGCCCCAAUUGUUCUCUCUUCAUCUUCAUUUCAGAACCGAUCCCAAGCACUGCAAAACCCUUUCAUCUUGAGAUUCUUCACCACUUUGACUCUUCUUGAAUAAUUCCAAAAGGGAAAAAAAGAAAAAANNNNNNNNNNNNNNNNNNNNNNNNNNNNNNNNNNNNNNNNNNNUUUUUUUUCCCUAUAAAAAGUUUUAUUUUCUUAGUCACUAUGAUGCGUAAUUAAAAAAAUUAUCAAAAUCACCACCUAAAGCAACUUAUAAAUACAAAAAUAGUGCUAAACAUCUCAAAUUUUUUAUUUUAAAAAAUUAUGUCAGAUCAUGUGACAUUCACUAACUAGUUGGAGAGAUAAUAUAAUUAAUUUAUCUAGAUUUAGUAAAAAAUUAUCAAUUAUUUAAUUAAUGAAAUUUAAAAUAAAAAAUUUGAGAUGUCUAAUCAUUACUCUAAAUAUAAUAGACACCAAAAUAAUAAAAAAUUAAAGUUUAAGAGUUCAAAAUAUUUUAUUUAUAGUCUCAUGAAUAGAACAACAUAAUUGCAAACGGCACAUUUUCUCACUUACGUUUCUUUAUAUCCUGAUAAAUAUCUCUUCUACUAAACUUGACAAACACUAAUAUAACAAACCCCAAUUAUUUUCUCCUGUAUUCUUUUGCGCUCUCAUAGGUGUCAUUUUAUUUUUUUGAGUCUUUUGUUGCUAAAUUUUUAGAUUCGUGAUCAAUUCAUUUUCAUGAUUUUUUUUUCAGUCUAUGAUCUUCAUCUAUACAAAUUUAAAAUACUCCCUUUUGUUUUCUUCAUUUUUUCAGAUUAAUUAUUUUUAAUUUUGGGAAACUAAUGUUUUUAAGUUUUGUAAAGAAAGAAAGUUUGGAGAGAAGAAUAAAGAUAACAAUACUUCAAAAGAAAUUAUCACUUAUAGAAUUGUUUGUGUGAAAGGUAUGGUAAGAAGACUAUAAAAAAAAAUUUAAGAGUGAGAAAAUUGAUAGAAAUCAAAGAAAAUUUGGAAAUCAAAGCACACACAAAUUAAGGAUGAUAAUUUAGAAAGAAAUGAUCUUUUUGGUAUUAAAUGGAUCAUAAUUGAGAGGGGGUUUUAAAAGAAUAAUGGAAAGGUGUUAAAAGCCUCUCUCUUUUGAAUUUUUGUGCCUUUCCAUUGUUUGGUUGACUAUGAAAUGGGGGAAUUUAUUAAUUUCCUUUGAAAUAAAAGAAAUUAAUAAAUUCCAUCCAAUCAAGGGAUCUGAAUUAUUCACCGAAGAGUGAAACAGGGGUGGAGCUAUUUGUGGGCUGGGGCUGUAGCCUGUCUAAAAUUUUGAUAAGAGUUCUACUAUUUACUCCGGGUCAAACCCCGAAAGUAAUUGAAACGACGUCGUUUCUUUUUUUUUUUUUCGUUUUUGUUCUCCAUAAAACGACGCCGUUUGGUUUAAUUAGCAUCAGCCCCAAUUGUUCUCUCUUCAUCUUCAUUUCAGAACCGAUCCCAAGCACUGCAAAACCCUUUCAUCUUGAGAUUCUUCACCACUUUGACUCUUCUUGAAUAAUUCCAAAAGGGAAAAAAAGAAAAAANNNNNNNNNNNNNNNNNNNNNNNNNNNNNNNNNNNNNNNNNNNNNNNNNNNNNNNNNNNNNNNNNNNNNNNNNNNNNNNNNNNNNNNNNNNNNNNNNNNNUUAAGAGUGAGAAAAUUGAUAGAAAUCAAAGAAAAUUUGGAAAUCAAAGCACACACAAAUUAAGGAUGAUAAUUUAGAAAGAAAUGAUCUUUUUGGUAUUAAAUGGAUCAUAAUUGAGAGGGGGUUUUAAAAGAAUAAUGGAAAGGUGUUAAAAGCCUCUCUCUUUUGAAUUUUUGUGCCUUUCCAUUGUUUGGUUGACUAUGAAAUGGGGGAAUUUAUUAAUUUCCUUUGAAAUAAAGGAAAUUAAAAAAUUCCAUCCAAUCAAGGGAUCUGAAUUAUUCACCGAAGAGUGAAACAGGGGCGGAGCUAUUUGUGGGCUGGGGCUGUAGCUUGUCUAAAAUUUUGAUAAGAGUUCUACUAUUUACUCCGGGUCAAACCCCGAAAGUAAUUGAAACGACGCCGUUUCUUUUUUUUUUUUUCGUUUUUGUUCUCCAUAAAACGACGCCGUUUGGUUUAAUUAGCAUCAGCCCCAGUUAGAUUACAAGUUUAAUUACUGCAAUUUCAGGCUAUUGUGAGACGAAGAGAAAAUGAAGAGAAAGAGAGCAAUUUGGAGUUGUUAUUGAUUUUGUUUUAACCAAGCUGAAACGAAGGGGAAGAGAAACAGAGAAAUAGAAGGAGGGGCUGUGAGACAGAGAGAGAAAGCAAUUUGUUGAGACGAAGAGAACGAAGUGAAGGAGUGGGGCUGUUGUUGAUUUUUUUUUCCUUAAAAUGACGUCGUUUUAGAGAGAAUGAAAUGAAAAAAAAAAAAGAAUUAAAACGACGUCGUUUAUUAUUUUCGGGGUUUCAAAAUUUACAAAAUUGUCAUUGCUUUACACUUUUAUUUACAACUUCACCAUUCUAUUAAUUUACCACUUUGUCAUUCUUAUAAAUAAAUAAAAUGAGCAUUUACUUUAUUCUUGGAGAACGCGCUCUCUUUGUUUUUUGGCUCCUUCGUGCUGACAUGCUCUGCUUCUUCAGUUAUUCGUCUUCUCUUGGUAGGAAUAUAUAACAUAUUAAUUUUUUAUUUGAUCAUUUACAAUAUAUUUAUAAAUUGUAAGAUAGUAAAGACUAAAAAUCAUAUUCUUUAGUUAGUUUAUGUUCUAAUUUUAUUAUGUAAGAUUAAAUUAUUGUUAGGUCAAACCAUUGAAUUAUAGAAAUUAAAUUUUUAAAUUUAUUAUAGAUAAAUCAUAGAUUAGAGAUAAUUAUUUUAGUGAAAAAUAAGAAGAAAUGCAAGAGCUCAUCAAGACACCACUUUAAAAUAAGAUAGAGAAAUUUAUAUCAGACUGUAGGAUUAUCUAUGUUGAAAGAAAAUUUCUAGACAUUGUCGAUUCAAAUUCGAUAAUAGAUGAAUUUAAUUCUUGAAAGUUUAGAAAGACACAACUGAAAUAUUAUUUAAUUGUAAUUGAAUUGCUUCUUAAAAUUGAUGUAUUUUCUUAUGUAUUAAUGAAAUUUUCAUUAAAAAUUAUAUUUUUAAUUGCGAUAAUAUUUGGACUUGGAAAAAAUUCAACACACCCAAAAUUUUUUUCUUUACUUCGCCCGUGAAAUGAGGAAUCCAAAUUCCAAAUUCACUAGAAAUCUAAACUUCCAAAUUUACCCCUUUUAUAUUUCACUAUUAAUUAGUUUAUUGUUAUUAAAGCAAUUAUUAUUUAUAAUUUUUUUGUCACGUAAUUUAACGGCAAAGUUUGAUUCAACAAGAAAUUUUUUUAAAAAGAUUUAUUUGAUUUAACCAAAAAAAGCCCGUUAAUUACACCUAAAUGUAAUUUUUUUAAUUUAAAAAAUAAAAAAUAAUUGAGUAGGGGAAAAAGUAUAUUUUAUAACUAAUUGUAGGAAUAAAAAUGUCAUUUUGUAACUAUUAUAGGGACAAAAUAUUAUUUUAUAAUUAAUUCUAAGGGCAAAAAUUUCAUUUUGUAAUUAAUUUACUAUUCCCAUUGAAGUUAACAACAAAGUUAACGAAUGAUCACCCGCUUGAUUAUUUUUUAAAAAACGUAUCAUUUUUAAAAAAUUUGUCAAAACAUGUGUCACCGAAAGGUAAUUAACUCUUAUUUUUUAAAUUCUUAGGUGUUUACCAUUUGAUUUAAUCACGUAACAUAUACCUAUGGCGAAAAAACAUAUCUCGUCCUUCUAUCAACAAACAGUAACGUCUAAAUCUUCCAGCUUGUUUUUGGGGUCUGAGGCAUUUUCGUCUUUCAUUAGUCAAAUGGACGGUAAAGCUGAUGACAGGAGUGGUAUGUAAUAAUACAGCAAACUCACCAUCUAAAUAUAAAUACGUGAAACUUCAGGGGAAGCUAUCUAAACUUUACCCUACUAGAAAAUGGGCCCAAUCCCCGUUAGCAGCCCCCAUUGAAAGAGUGCGGCAAAGCAACCUGGGUAAAAGUACAUUUUAAAAAUAAACAUGAAAAAGAAUAGGAUAUUCAUAUCUUACGUGCACGUAAGAUAUAUCUUUUUACAUAAAUAGUAUAUGUGGAUGAAAGAUUUAGAAAGAAAGAACCAUUGACACCGAAUUUAUUAUAUUAAAAACGUAUCAUUUUUAAAAUAUUUGUCAAAACAUGUGUCACCCAAAGGUAAUUAACUCUUAUUUUUUAAAUUCUUAGGUGUUUACCAUUUGAUUUAAUCACGUAACAUAUACCUAUGGCGAAAAAACAUAUCUCAUCCUUCUAUCAACAAACAGUAACGUCUAAAUCUUCCAGCUUGGUUUUGGGGUCUGAGGCAUUUUCGUCUUUCAUUAGUCAAAUGGACGGUAAAGCUGAUGACAGGAGUGGUAUGUAAUAAUACAGCAAACUCACCAUCUAAAUAUAAAUACGUGAAACUUCAGGGGAAGCUAUCUAAACUUUACCCUACUAGAAAAUGGGCCCAAUCCCCGUUAGCAGCCCCCAUUGAAAGAGUGCGGCAAAGCAACCUGGGUAAAAGUACAUUUUAAAAAUAAACAUGAAAAAGAAUAGGAUAUUCAUAUCUUACAUGCACGUAAGAUAUAUUUCUUUACAUAAAUAGUGUAUGUGGACGAAAGAUUUAGAAAGAAAGAACCAUUGACACCGAAUUUAUUAUAAAUAAAAUUAAUUAUUUGUUUAUGACCUGAUUGAAGGUUGAUAUAAAUCUUGUAUUUUAUGACUUUAUAGCGAUUUUUUUGAAUUUCAAAGUUCAAACCCAUAAAAAAUGAUAAGUAAAGUGAGACUGAGAAUUCAUUUGGCUUGGCAAUGGUGAUGGUAAAAUGAAAUUUUUCCUCGGUUUAUUGACUGUUCUUAAUGAGUCGUGAUCUAAUAAUCAAUUCUUUUGUCCUUUCUCUUAUAUUUCCACAUAUGAAUAAUCAUGGUUUGACUAAGAAAUUUUUUUUUCCUCUAUGGACCAUUCAUAGACAGUCAUGGUUUAACGAAAAAAUUUCUUUCUCGUUUUUCCUUUAUUGACUAUUCUUAAUCUGUCAUAAUCUAACUAAUAAUGUUGUUUAUCUGUCCACUAUUUAUUGAUCAAUCGUGCAUUCCUCCUUUUUAUUGGUUCCUUAAAAUCUUGAAUUUUUUAUUAUUACGACUUAUCUCGUUAUAACAAAUGAAAGAACGAGGAAGAGAAAAUGGAGAUAUGAAUCAAGUAAAAUUAUAAAAGAUUCUAUUUUAUCUAAUUAAACUAUGUUGGGUUAUUUUUAGUGACCUCCCCUGAGAUUUGGUUUAUUAACAGUCUGAUAGAAAGUAUUCAUGUAAUUACAAAGACCUCCCUUAACAUUAGUAUAAAAAUACGUAAACGUCAGUAUAAAAGGGUAAACAAGUAAAAGUAAACUUGAAAUUUAAACAAAAUCAAAAUUCAAGCAAAAUAUGCUUCAAUGUCCGUGAAAUGGAGACUUAAACACACCAUUACCCAGUCUAAAGUCAUUAUCCAGUAGAUGAAAGGAAAUGAUUUUUUCACAAAGUGUACUUCUCGUAAACACAGGUUACACUUGAACAAAACCCACCAUCAUUUUCAUCCAUGGAGAAGAAGCGUCUGCAACUCACAAAUAAUUUAUGAAAUCAUUGAUUUAUUUUCAUCUACUGCACAAGAUGACGUCGUGCGGUGGUCCAGAGCUUUCAAGAAGCGAGUAUUGCCAGCAUCUAGCGUCUAUCGUGACUGGAAUUAGAUCGCAAGAAGAGGUCAGUCUUCGAAAACACAGCUUGCAUGCUUGAAUCAGUGGCUUACAAGAUAUUGUUGUUAUUUUAUUGAUUAAAAAUAACAAUGGGUCUGUUUUAAUUAAUGAAAGUCUGUUUUAAUUAAUGAAAAUGGUGCUGGAUGUUGUUUCUCUCUGGGGUUGUUAGUGUUGAGUUGAAAAAAACUAUUGGGUAAUGACUGAUAAGAGCAAUUUCCUAAUGAUUUAAGAGCUGUGUAAGUACUAGAUGUAGUUCAUCAAAGAUGGUUUCAGUUUGCUUAUAAUGUGAUAAUCUUUUAGAGAGCCCAUAGUGGUUUAUGUGAUUGUUCAGUUUGGGGUCAUGACACUAAUUGAGUUGUGUGUUAAAAUACUAACCAAAGUAUUUUCCAAGCAUUGAGUUACUUUAAAACAAUCUCUCGUUAUUAUUAUUAUUAUUAUUUUAAAUCUAUACACAACAUUGCCAUAGUAAUGCAUUUUAAGAAAGUUUUAUGGAGUACACAAUCCCAGAUUUUAUCAAUUAAAUACCCUUUGAGACAAUUGUUGGCAGGUUCAAAAAUAAUUUUUAGUAGGAAGUUUAAAAUUAAUUUCGAUGUUUGAUAAUUUAUUUUAAAAGAGUAAAUUUUGAAUUACUCCUUUCGUGAAAUGAUAAUUUUUAAAAUAUGAUUUAAAUUGUUGUAAACUUGAAUUUAUUUCUUUUUUAUUCAAAAGAUUAGGCAAAAAUGAGGGUGGGUCGAUAUUUUUUGUUUUAUCUUCUUACAAAAAUAUGGGAUAAAUUGAUUUUUACGAUACUUUAAAGAUAUUUUAAAAGUUGUCAUUUCACAAUAAGGUAAUCUGAAAUUAAUCUUUUUUUUUUUCGAAAUAGUAUUGGCAAAACCAAUUCCUACAGCACAUUCUGAUUAUGUUAAGAAAGCUUCAUUUAACAUUUUGCCUAUUUUAAUUAUUUACAUUAUCAUAGUAAUUUAACAUUAAAUUUUCUAAACACAAAAUUGGUACCGACAACAGUAAAAUUGUUUUCUUUAUAUUUUUAACAAUUUAAGAAUAAAUGCCUGAGUCCAUAUUAACCAUAUAAACAUGUUCAAUAAUCACGAUUAUCAAAGAAUUUAAAGAUUAAUAUAGAAUUUAUAAAACGAGAAUCAGGCCUCAAACCGGACAAAACAAGAAUAUUUGGUCCGGUUUGAAUCCGGUCCGGAUGCUGUAACAUAAAUCUCGGUUGCUAAUUUUAUGUUUACAUGUCAACUUAUGACCUGGCAGUCUGCCACAAUCCUAUUGGUCUGCUGACAUGUCAAUUUUACUCGAACAAAUAUCCAAAAAAAUAAAAAAUAAAAAAUAAAAGGAAAGUGAGAAAAAAGGAAAAAUAAUAAAUCUUGCUCAUGAAGUCUAAUUUGCUUCUCACUUAAAAGUCCUACAAAUAAUAAUAAUAAUAAUAAUAAUAAGAAUCUUGACAGAAGAUUGUAGAAUACAAAUGUUAGGGGAGGUCUUUGUAAUUACGUCAAUACUUUCUAUCAGACUGUUAAUAUACCAAACCUCAAGGGAGGUCCCUAAAAAUAACCCAAACUAUGCUAGUAUAAAAAUAAAGCGUACUCUAUUUAUAUUAUUAAAUAAAAUCUAUAGAUCGAACAAUUUUGUGAUAUUUUUAUAACUCAAUUGUGUGUAAAUGCAUUUGGAUUAGGGUUUCGACGUUUAGAUCUUGCGUUUCGUUAUGUUCUGUUUCGUUGCCGUUAAAAUGUUGCAAAUGAAGGCUCGUUACAGUUGUCAUAAAGAUUCCUUUGAUGAUCAUCAUAUAUCAUCAUCUCAUUUGAAAUAAAUAUUUUUACAUAAAAUUUAGAAUAUUGAGUUACUUUAAAACAAUCUCUCGUUAUUAUUAUUAUUAUUAUUAUUAUUAUUAUUUUAAAUCUAUAUACAACAUUGCCAUAGUAAUGCAUUUUAAGAAAGUUUUAUGGAGUACACAAUCCCAGAUUUUAUCAAUUAAAUACCCUUUGAGACAAUUGUUGGCAGGUUCAAAAAUAAUUUUUAUUAGGAAGUUUAAAAUUAAUUUUGAUGUUUGAUAAUUUUUUUUAAAAGAGUAAAUUUUGAAUUACUCCUUUUGUAAAAUGACAAUUUUUAAAAUAUGGUUUAAAUUGUUGUAAACUUGAAUUUAUUCCUUUUUUAUUCAAAAGAUUAGGCAAAAAUGAGGGUGGGUCGAUAUUUUUUUUUUAUCUUCUUACAAAAAUAUGGGAUAAAUUGAUUUUUACGAUACUUUAAAGAUAUUUUAAAAGUUGUCAUUUCACAAGAAGGUAAUCUGAAAUUAAUCUUUUUUUUCUUCGAAAUAGUAUUGGCAAAACCAAUUCCUACAACACAUUCUGAUUAUGUUAAGAAAGUUUCAUUUAACAUUUUGCCUAUUUUAGUUAUUUACAUUAUCAUAGUAAUUUAACAUUAAAUUUUCUAAACACAAAAUUGGUACCGACAACAGUAAAAUUGUUUUCUUUAUAUUUUUAGCAAUUUAAGAAUAAAUGCCUGAGUCCAUAUUAACCAUAUAAACAUGUUCAAUAAUCACGAUUAUCAAAGAAUUUAAAGAUUAAUAUAGAAUUUAUAAAACGAGAAUCAGGCCUCAAACCGGACAAAACAGGAAUAUUCGGUCCGGUUUGAAUCCGGUCCGGAUGCUGUAACAUAAAUCUCGGUUGCUAAUUUUAUGUUUAAAUGUCAACUUAUGACCUGGCAGUCUGCCACAAUCCUAUUGGUCUGCUGACAUGUCAAUUUUACUCGAACAAAUAUCCAAAAAAAUAAAAAAUAAAAGGAAAGUGAGAAAAAAGGAAAAAUAAUAAAUCACGCUCAUGAAGUCUAAUUUGCUUCUCACUUAAAAGUCCUGCAAAUAAUAAUAAUAAUAAGAAUCUUGACAGAAGAUUGUGUGUGUGACAGAGAGAGCUGUUAAAGAUCGAACAAGUUUCGAGCAUUUUUGCGUUUUUACAGAACUCCAUUGCAUUGGUAAUCUUCUACUUUUUCUCUGUUCAUUAUUCUGUGUUAAUUUGUGAAUCUGCUUAUCGAUCGAACAAUUUUGUGAUAUUUUUAUUACUCAAUUGUGUGUAAAUGCAUUUGGAUUAGGGUUUCGACGUUUAGAUCUUGCGUUUCGUUAUGUUCUGUUUGGUUGCCGUUAAAAUGUUGCAAAUGAAGGCUCGUUACAGUUGUUAAUUUCUCAAUGUUUCUUAUCUUGUUCAUUUGGUGCAAUUAAAAUGAUUUGAUUUAUUGGCAUUUGGUGAUAAUAUUUGCAAAUCCUUGAAAUUUAUCAAACACAAUGAUGAUGGAUGAUGAUAUGGAGAAUGGUGGUUUGGGGCCUUACCAAGAUCGGCCGAGGACGUUCCCCAACAUGCGUAGUAAACCUUAUGUUCCUAAGGUAAGUAGGCAGCAGUAUAGCAUUUACAUAUUUGUCAAGUCUUGUAGAAAUUUCUUUCAUUGGAUCAUCUAUUGUUGCCAUCAAUCAUGCCCAGAAUAGCUAUAGGAACUGUCUAUGGGAUAUACUCCACCCUUUAAGAAUAGCCAAACAGGGAGAGAUGGUUAAUUGUGAAAAUUUUAUAAAAUUUGAAUUGAAGAUCUAGUGUACUGUUUUAAUUGAAUAAAAAGAUAAACACUUCAUUAAACAUGGUAUCAUCCUCAACUCUAGUACAAGAAAAUUAGAGAGACAUAAUUACCUUAACUCUAGUACCCGAAAAAUAGAAAGACAUAAUUAAAUUUAGAGUAAUAGAACAAAAAAAAAGCCAUUGAAAGUUUUCUCACUAAUUUUUUUUUAAUCAUGUAUAAGUUUAGACCCUAACCCAAAUAAAUUUGGAGCCCAAGUUGAUGGGCUUUCAUUUUCACUGUUUUUUGUAGUUUCUUGCCCAUAAAUAAUAAUCGUCUCUAUGCAUCUGUUCGUUUCUCUGUGGAAUGUGCAUUUCUAACUCAAGACUUCAGAAAUGCUUUUCCCUUCGCUUCUAUGAUCAGAUUUCUGGUUAGUAAAUAAAUUAAAUACAUUUCUUACUCUUUUUCCCUAUCUAUUUUCAUAAAUUUAGUGAUGGGUUCCCCUUCAUUUUAUUUAUGGUGCUCAUAAUUAUAUGCCAUUUUGCCUUUUCAAUCCUUUGUUGGUUGCCCUUUUAGUAUAUUACAUGCAAUUUCAAUGGCUAGGAUUUUCUUAAAUUAUUAUUACUGCUGUUGUUAUAUAUUUAUUUAUUUAUGUUGUUGUUGUUGUGUAGCUUCAGAUGGUCUAAUUGAAAUUACGAAUGUGGAUUAGUGUCAAAAUGGGAAGUGUUUGUAAAGUAGUAUAAUAGCAAUAAUAUAGCAAAAGCAAUGGGGACUGUGAUUAGUAAAGCUGCUAGUGGUAUAGGCAGUGUUCUUGGCACUGCUUUCGUGGCUCCAUUUAAGAGCAUCUUCAAUGGAUCUUGUGAGUAAGUAAUUCUAAUUCGUCAUCUCUCAUAACGCUUCUCUUUAUUCGUAUAAAUCUUUACAACAUUAAUUAUGUAUGUAAUUGCUUUAGUUGCUUAAUUAUACCAUAAUAAUGAAAGGGAGUAUCUUGCAAGUUACAAUCUAUUUGAUUAUUGCCAAUGUAAUGAUCUAUAUGUGUUCAUUUGAAAGAGGUCGUAUCAAUUGCUUUAUGCAUACAUGCGCGCGCAUUUAUUGAAUGGUGGUCUGAUUCGAUUUGCUUGGCUAUGCAGGGAUGUUUGUCCAGGACCAUGGGACAUAAUUGGUUUCAUCAAGCACUUAUGUGUCACCAAUCUGGUGAAACUGCUAAUGAUUUUGGGGCUAUGCUACAUAAGUAAUCUCAGCUCUCAUACUUAACAAUUCAGUUUUCCCAUUUAAGUUUAAUUUCUUUUCGAAUUCUUCUAUUUUCAUUUUGACUGUUGAUUGAAUGAACAAAUUGAUGAAAUAAACAAAAAUAAGACAAAUUAAUAAUUCAGAAAAUGUUUUGGUUUCAUAAAGAAUGUAACAGAACUCUCUCCCGAAUUUGUAUAUUUUGGAAUGGCAUCGUUGAGUACAAAUCAGGAUAAUGCUGUUUGUUUCAAUCUUUGCUUAUAAAUGAUCUUAAGCUAAAUAUGGUAAAUUUUUGUUUCUUUUUGUUAUAUUUACUAGUUAUAUUUAAGUACACCAGAAUUAACUGCUGGGUUUUUGUCAUUUAUUAUAUCAUUUUUCAUAUUUUCAGUUUUGUUGUUCUGCUACCUAUUGUUCAAAGUGGGAAUCUGCCAAUGCAUUGUAAGAAGCCUUUGUAAGAUGCUGGGCUGCUUGUGAAACAUACUGGUAUGCUUUGGAAGACAUCACAUGUUUCGGAGAAGCAUUUUGACCAAUUUAGAUAGAAAUGUGAAAUUAGUGAAUCCUUGCUUCACGAUUCUACCUUGCUAAUGUAGUGCUUUCGAUAUACCGCAUCAAUAACACAGAAACAAUAACUCUUAGUUAUUUUAGAAUUUUUUUUUAUAAUUGUAAUUAAACUUUUAUUUAUUUAUUUAUCUUGUUUUAAGUUAUAGUGCUUUAUCCUGAAGCAAUAACCAAUUAAUUGACGUAGACAAUAUAUAGGAUGUAUAUGGUUUAAUUGGAGUGUAUGAGAGCCAAAAUUCAACACUGCACGUUUGCAUGCAUCUAAAAUGUUAGUAUUGAACAUAUUGGCAGAAAUGUGAAGCCCCAUUGAAGUUAUUCUCAAAUUUGUAAAGCCCGUUUAAAUAUAGGUUCUUGAAGAGCCGGCCUAUGUGAAAAUUAAAUUAAGUCUUUACAACGCACAUUAUCAUACGCAAAUAAUAGAUAUUUACCGAACCACAAAGGGGGGGUAUAUGUCAACUAUCUAAAAGAAU